ensembl:ncRNA W10C8.10 ncRNA
UGCGUUCCCGGAAUAUUUUCUUUCAUAUCUUGAUGACAGAGUUUCAACACGGCUACGACCGCGACGCGGCUGCUUGCGGAGCGGCUCAAACAAAAAAUAAUUCAUCAAUUUCAGAAUGCUGGAAAAUCAAGCGCUCUGGGCAAGAAUA